GUGAGGAAUAUUGGUCAAUGGGCGAGAGCCUGAACCAGCCAAGUCGCGUGAAGGAAGACGGUUCUAUGGAUUGUAAACUUCUUUUGUAGAGGAAUAAUGGCGGUUACGCGUAACCGAGAUGCAAGUACUCUACGAAUAAGCAUCGGCUAACUCCGUGCCAGCAGCCGCGGUAAUACGGAGGAUGCGAGCGUUAUCCGGACUUAUUGGGUUUAAAGGGUGCGUAGGUGGCUUGUUAAGUCAGUGGUGAAAAGCUGCAGCUCAACUGUAGUCUUGCCGUUGAAACUGACGGGCUAGAGAGGAAACGAGGUAUGCGGAAUGUGUGGUGUAGCGGUGAAAUGCAUAGAUAUCACACAGAACGCCGAUUGCGAAGGCAGCGUACCAGGCUCUAUCUGACACUGAAGCACGAAAGCGUGGGGAUCAAACAGGAUUAGAAACCCUAGUAGUCC
rnacentral:rRNA from 1 species